rnacentral:rRNA from 1 species
UCUUUAAUGGGUUUAAAGGGUACCUAGACNGUAUGUUAAGCCUNAGAAGGGACUNACAUACUAGAGUUACUUAUGAAGAAGCUUUAAAGUACUAGAGGAGUANAGAUGAAAUUCNAUAAUACCUUUUUUUUGAAAAAAAAAACUUCGGCACAGAUAUAGGUGAAAACAUCUUCUUAUGAGAUAACUGACGUUGAGGGACGAAGGCUUUUAGUCGUGAACAGGAUUAGAGACCCUGGUAAUGAAAGCAGAAAACGCUGAGUGUCAUAGAUUAGAUAAAAAUUUAUUCUAUAAAUGAAAGUGUAAGCACUCCACCUCAAGAGUAAUUUGGCAACAUUGGAACUGAAAUCAUUAGACCGUAUUUGAAACCAGUAGUGAUGUAUGUUGUUUAAUUUGAUAAUCCGCAAAGAACCUUACCACAACUUGAAUGUCUAUA